UUUACCAUAAAAAAUAUUGAACUGUCAAUAUCAAGUCUGUCGAAUGGACUCGAUGACAGCGAACAAGGUUAUCGCAGUUUGUCAUUGUUUUGUUUUUAUGAUCAUUCGAUUCCACGGAUUCCACGCACGAUUUAAGAAAAUUUAAAUUUUGAGUUGCGAUAGCAGCAGCAGAUAGCUGCAAGAGUGAACAUUCUGUUGGCCUCCUCGAGGUAAAGAAUCACGCCAUGACCGUUUCCGCAAAAUGUUUGGUGAAAAGGUAGCACUGGCGCACUUUCAUCACCAUGUUGUGGUCACACCUUGAAUUAAAUCGGCUGUUGCUGAAAUAUCAUGUUUUUCGCUCAGAGGCAUCCGCAUUCCAGCAUCAGGAAGAAUCGCAGUACUGACUUCAGCGCAGAGAAAACGGCAAACAGGUGUUUGGAUGCUCACAACGGCAAUAGUUUUUGUUUUAAAAGUCAAUAGUUCUCAUUCUAAAAUGCAUGUCUCCAUCUUUUUGAAUAAUAUAAAUAAAAUUUUCAUUUAAAAAGUUGCAAAUAAG